rnacentral:lncRNA from 1 species
AUCAGAGAAUAUAAAUGAGUGACAACUCAAUGAGGAGAGGAAAUUCCCAGCAAAGAGAUUGUGACAGCAUGAGAAAAAAAAGAUGAGGUUCUGGAGGCUGGGAGUUGAAGAUAAGGAUACCAGCUGGGUACGAUCCAUGCCCAGUUUUCCAUGCAGACUGCUGACUUUCUUAUAUAUCCUCGCACUGUGAAAAGAAGGUUAAAUACCUGGGAGUGAGAUUGCUGUGUCAUAUGACGACUGUAGUUCAUUCAGGAGACAACAACGCCGCAGGUGAUCUGGAGGCUCCUGGAGGACCUCAGCGACUCAGGUCCAGUCCAAGGAGGGCCGCAGAUCAGGCUGAAGAAGGAUGGAUCCACAUGCUUAGAGGAGAUCGAGAAAUGCAGCUGAGAGGUACGCUGUAUCUCUCCUACACGUGAGACCCCAGGAAGGAAAAGGACAGCUUGCCAGGUGUCCCCCUCCCGAGUUUCUAGCCCCAUUGACUGUGGGCGACAUCCCUGCACACUCUGGAGCAGUGCUGAAGUGAGUUUGUAUUGUAAUCGAAGGAGUUCUGCUGGUCUGCUGCUUAAGUAGGAAGGUUUGAAUUGGUUUCUCUCCUUCUAUUCCUCAGAUCCCACACUGUAACUACUAGUUUCCAAACUGCUUAUGUUUAUCUUUUGAACAGGAUAUGCUGCACUUCCUCUUUUCUUAGAAUGUUUUGCCUUCACAUUUUACCUAGUUGGCAUGUAAGAGAAAAGUAAUUUUUAAAUAUUGUUUCUAAUUUCUAAACAACUGCAAAAAAAUUACAAUGAAUAUUUUUACAUAUGUCUAGUGCAUACAUGUGAAAAUUUAGAAGUGUGAGGUGUGUGCACGUGUGGGAUCAUUGGGUGGGAGAUUAUGUGCAUAUUCAGUAAUACAUGUGUCAAAAAGCUCUUCAAAGUGCUUGUGCCAAUUUAAACUUCCCAAAGAACUAUCUGAGAGUACCACUGUUCUACAUCUUCAAUAAUACUUAAUAAUUUUUAAAUGUUACCAAAUGUUAAAUUUUUAAAUUCACAUGAGUAUUAAUUAUGUAUCUUAAUAUGUAUUUCCUUAAGUAUUCAUAAAGUUGAGAACGUUUUCAUGCUAUUAGCCAGUGGUUUUCUUCUUUUGUAAAGUGUUUAUUCAUACCCUUCACUCAUAUACACAUGGUAUUGUUUGCUUUUUGGUGUUAUUCUAUAGAUGUUAUUUGUAAGUUCUGAAUACUAAUUCUAUAGCUAUUAAAUAUCUAACAUAUAUAUUUUUACAGUGUAGUUUGUACACUCUGUUGUGAUUUCUAUUAUAUUGUGUUAAUAAAACAAAAUAGAGAAAAAUAA